CGGCGUUCUUUCCGCCACUCAGAAGGGGCGUUCAAGGCGCCACUCUCUGGCGUAAAAUACGGUGUUAUGACUUAUUAAACGGUGAUUUUUACAUCAUUUCUUGAAGAUACGGGUUAGAAGUCAGGGCAGGAAACGUACACUGGUCAAAUGUGACAUUUAGGGCUACUUUGCUUCCAUAAAUGUACCUAAUCAUAUAAGACCUUACGAAGAUGGCUCCCAAGUAGCUACAGUUAUGAGCAUUUGCAGAAGAGGGGGUGAUUUCGUGACCUAACAGCCAGAUGUGCUCGGGUGUGAAGUACAUCGGAGCAUCUCUGACCUGGGAAGAGGAAGAGGAUUCCCAUAUUCAUCCAACAGUGUGGCUCCAGCAGAUGUGGCCCAGCGGCAGUGUUGAGCCAGCAGAGAGUUUCUGGCUGUGGUCGGGUUGUCUGUGACUGAGCCAUCUGCAUUUUUCAGGGGGGAAAACUCAUCCUCCCUGACAA